AAUAAAACAAUUUUUCACUUUUUACCAACAAUUUUUGACUCUUCGUCUUAUAAAAAAAUUUACGAUUGAUAUUUUUGUUUUUAUUAGAUGAUAAAUUAUGAAUAAUACUUUAUGUGUGACUAAUUUUUGUCUAAUUUUCUAAAAAAUUUUCAAAUAAGACAGAUAAUCAAAUGUUGGACACGGAAACCGGAG
rnacentral:pre_miRNA from 1 species